UACGUAGGGUGCGAGCGUUGUCCGGAAUUAUUGGGCGUAAAGAGCUUGUAGGCGGUUUGUCGCGUCUGCUGUGAAAAUCCGGGGCUCAACCCCGGACUUGCAGUGGGUACGGGCAGACUGGAGUGUGGUAGGGGAGACUGGAAUUCCUGGUGUAGCGGUGAAAUGCGCAGAUAUCAGGAAGAACACCUAUGGCGAAGGCAGCUCUCUGGGACGGUACUGACGCUGAGACGCGAAAGCGUGGGGAGCGAACAGG
rnacentral:rRNA from 1 species